rnacentral:lncRNA from 1 species
AGUAUUCGGGUUGAUGGGAUCGUGGGAUCGUGGAGGCAGCUUGCUGUGACUGUGAGCCGUGGCAGAGCCUGGGGCAGUUCGCCCAGCAGUCUUGGGAUGACUUUAAGCAACUGUUGUUCGUGGUAGGGCAGCAAUAUAAGCACCAUGGCGGGUUGCAGUACCGAUGGUGCGGUGACCACUCGCAUGGGUAUGCCAAACUUGCUUGACCUGCAAACAAAAUUAGGUGUAAAAGUUGAAACCCUUGCCGUAUUGUUACAUAUCAGACGAUCUUACGUUGAAAAAAAACAUAACAGGCGAUCAAAUC